GGGUUGAAUGACCGAAUGAGACGGCACAUUUAAUAAAUGCUGGUUGACUCUCAGAAAGCAUCAACUGGGGGUAGGGGGUGGGAAGGAACCAUAACUCUCCAUUUCCUGGAAGAUGAACUUUCUGCGUGCAGAGAAGGGAGGGAUUGCCAUCGUGUGCUCACCUCCUGCUGGAACUGAGGUUGGAUUCUUCAUUAAUCUCAGUACUGAGUAGGGUCAGCCUCUCCAGCUGGUGGGCAGGCAACACAACAGGCUACAGGUGCUCUCCCCAUGGGAGAGUCCGGCAUCUUGCUCUUGGAGCCUUUCUUAUAAAGGGGUGAUUAGGCAUCCCCGGAGAGUCAUUGGAGGCUCUUGUCCACAGGAUCAUAAAUGAAUCCUAUCGCAAAUUCAUUCCCAUCCCUUCCUGAAGGCAGGGAUGCAACAGGGAAAGGUGUCAGCUUGAAGUGGUAGACGUGGGUUAGAUUCCUGGCCCUGCCAGUGAGUGACUUGUGUGACCCUGGG
rnacentral:lncRNA from 10 species